rnacentral:rRNA from 1 species
UACAGAGGUCUCGAGCGUUAGGCGGAAUCACUGGGCUUAAAGCGUGUGUAGGCGGAUUGCUAAGUACCUUGUGAAAUCCCACGGCUUAACCGUGGAACUGCUCGGUAUACUGGCUGUCUUGAGCCACUUAGGGGCAACCGGAACAAACGGUGGAGCGGUGAAAUGCGUAGAUAUCGUUUGGAACGCCAAUGGUGAAAACAGGUUGCUGGGAGUGUGCUGACGCUGAGACACGAAAGCCAGGGGAGCAAACGGG